rnacentral:rRNA from 1 species
ACUCCUACGGGAGGCAGCAGUGGGGAAUAUUGCACAAUGGGGGAAACCCUGAUGCAGCCAUGCCGCGUGUGUGAAGAAGGCCUUCGGGUUGUAAAGCACUUUCAGUAGGGAGGAAGGUAGUGUAGUUAACACCUGCAUUAUUUGACGUUACCUACAGAAGAAGCACCGGCUAACUCCGUGCCAGCAGCCGCGGUAAUACGGAGGGUGCGAGCGUUAAUCGGAAUUACGUGGGCGUAAAGCGCAUGCAGGCGGCCUGUUAAGUCAGAUGUGAAAGCCCGGGGUCUUAACCGUCGGAAUUGCAUUUGAAACUGGCAGGCUAGAGUCUUGUAGAGGGGUUAGAAUUUCAGGUGUAGCGGUGAAAUGCGUAGAGAUCUGAAGGAAUACCGAGUGGCGAAGGCGGCCCCCGUGGACAAAGCUGACGCUCAGAUGCGAAAGCGUGGGAGCAAACGAGGAUUA